rnacentral:rRNA from 1 species
ACAACUAGGAUGUUGGCUUAGAAGCAGCCACUCAUUUAAAGAGUGCGUAAUAGCUCACUAGUCAAGAGAUCCUGCGCCGAAGAUGUCCGGGGCUCAAACUUACCACCGAAGCUAUGGGUGUACACUAUGUGUACGCGGUAGAGGAGCUUUCUGUAUGGGUUGAAGUCGUACCGUAAGGAGCGGUGGACUGUACAGAAGUGAGAAUGCUGGCAUAAGUAGCGAGAAAUAAGUGAGAAUCUUAUUGGCCGAAAACCUAAGGUUUCCUGGGGAAGGUUCGUCCGCCCAGGGUUAGUCGGGACCUAAGCCGAGGCCGAAAGGCGUAGGUGAUGGACAAUCGGUUGAUAUUCCGAUACCGCCUAUUUACGUUUGAGAAAUGGGGUGACGCAGUAGGAUAAGAUGUGCGCACUAUUGGAUGUGCGUCUAAGCAUUUAGGUAUGCUUGAUAGGUAAAUCCGUCGAGCUAAGCUGAGGUGUGAUGGGGAGCCAUUUAUGGCGAAGUAUCUGAUUCCACACUGCCAAGAAAAGCCUCUAUCGAGUGAAUAGGUGCCCGUACCGCAAACCGACACAGGUAGGUGAGGAGAGAAUCCUAAGGCCAUCGGAAGAAUUGCUGUUAAGGAACUCGGCAAAUUGACCCCGUAACUUCGGGAGAAGGGGUGCCUACGAAAGUAGGCCGCAGAGAAUAGGCCCAAGCAACUGUUUAGCAAAAACACAGG